rnacentral:miRNA from 1 species
UGACGUCUGGUCCACGAUGGUU